CCUACGGGUGGCUGCAGUCGAGAAUCUUCGGCAAUGGACGCAAGUCUGACCGAGCGACGCCGCGUGCGGGAUGAAGGCCUUCGGGUUGUAAACCGCUGUCGUAGGGGAGGAAGCGACCGCGAAGAGCGGAAGUUGACCGAUCCUAGGAGGAAGGGCCGGCUAAUCUCGUGCCAGCAGCCGCGGUAAUACGAGAGGCCCAAACGUUAUUCGGAAUUACUGGGCUUAAAGAGUUCGUAGGCGGCGCGGAAAGUAGGGUGUGAAAGCCCUCGGCUCAACCGAGGAAUUGCGCUCUAAACUACCGUGCUUGAGGAACCUAGAGGUGAGCAGAACUGAUGGUGGAGCGGUGAAAUGCGUUGAUAUCAUCAGGAAUACCGGAGGCGAAGGCGGCUCACUGGGGGUUUUCUGACGCUGAGGAACGAAAGCCAGGGGAGCGAACGGGA
rnacentral:rRNA from 1 species